AAAGUUCCAGCAACCGGGGGAGAUACCAUGAUCACAAAGGUGGUUUUUCCAGGGCGAGGCUUAUCCGUUGCUCUCCAGAUGUGCUGACCCCUGCGAUUUCCCCAAAUGUAGGAAACUCGACUGCAUAAUUUGUGGUAGUGGGGGGACUGCGUUUGUGUUCUCCAU
rnacentral:snRNA from 1 species